rnacentral:rRNA from 1 species
AAGUAAUGUGAAUUGCAGAUUUUCAGUGAAUCAUUGAAUCUUUGAACGCACCGUGCGCUCGUUGGUAUUCCGAGGAGCAUGCCUGUUUGAGUGUCAUUAAAUUCUCAACCCUGAACCUUUUGGUUUCGGGGCUUGGACUUGGAGCGUGCUGGCCUUUCCGGGGUCGGCUCCUCUCAAAUGCAUCAGCGGAAUCUAACCUUUGGUUUCCGGAAGUCGGUGUGAUAAUCAUGUUGCGCCGUCGUCUGACCUCAAAGUCCGCUUACAAUGGUCUUCGGACAACUUAUCAAAUUUGACCUCAAAUCAGGUAGGACUACCCGCUGAACUUAAGCAUAUCAAUAAGCGGAGGA